rnacentral:rRNA from 1 species
UACGAAGGGUGCAAGCGUUAAUCGGAAUUACUGGGCGUAAAGGGUGCGUAGGCGGUUCGUUAAGUCUGUCGUGAAAUCCCCGGGCUCAACCUGGGAAUGGCGUUGGAUACUGGCGAGCUAGAGUGUGUCAGAGGAUGGUGGAAUUCCCGGUGUAGCGGUGAAAUGCGUAGAGAUCGGGAGGAACACCAGUGGCGAAGGCGGCCUUCUGGACCAAUACUGACGCUCAUGCACGAAAGCGUGGGGAGCAAACAGG